CCGCCGGAUCCAGGGGAAGAUCCAGACGUUGUGGGACCAGUAUGCUGAGCAGGAGAUCUCGAGCUCGACCUUCCUGAAGACCGUCGGCAAGAUCUACUGCCCAGCGACGGUCCGACCAACACCAGACGACGAAUGAGGAGUAUACCAACAUCUCCGCGCCGACCAGUUCACAGUCGAACAAGGCCAUGCCACACCCAGGAGGCAGGUCACACACACACAAA